rnacentral:rRNA from 1 species
GACGAACGCUGGCGGCGUGCUUAAUACAUGCAAGUCGAACGGAAAGGUCCUGCUUUUGUGGGGUGCUCUAGUCGCGAGACGGUUAGUUACACGUUAGUCACCUUCCCUUUACUUUUGGAUUACUUCCGGAAACUCGGGCUAAUUCCCGAUAGGCUCUCCUGCUGCAUGGUGGGGGUUGUAAAGUUUCGGCGGUUGGUGAUGGUCUCGCGGCUUAUCAGCUUGCUGGUGGAGUAGUGGCUGACCAAGGCUUUGACGGGUAGCCGGCCUGAGAGGGUGACCGGCGACAAUGGGACUGAGAGACGCAGCAGAAUGGUACGGGAGGCAGCGGUGGGGAGUAUUACACAAUGGGCGGAAGUCAGAGACAGAAACGUCGGGAGCGGGAAGAUGGGCUGUGAGUGAAAAACAGGUAUCGGAGGUAACGAAGCGAGAGUGACGGUAAUGGGUAAAGAAGCAACGGCUAACUACGUG